rnacentral:tRNA from 1 species
GGUCCUGUAGUUCAGUUGGUAGAUCAUUGGACUAAUAACCCAAGGGUCCUGGGUUCGAGCCCCAGCGGGACCA